rnacentral:lncRNA from 1 species
AUUUUUUAAAAUGUUUUAAACUUAUUUUUCCUCUUCUUUUUUCAGUCUGAGUAAUUUCUGUGGACCUCCACUGAAGUACAAUAAUUCUUCCCUCAGCUGUACCAAGUGUACUGAAAAGCCCAUUAAAAACAUUCUUCAUUUCCUUUACUGCAUUUUCUGACUACAUUUGAUUCUUUCUUAUGGCUGCCAAAAUUACCUAUGCAUACUAUCCACCUUUUACGUUAGUUUUUAAAAUAAUACCAAUAGUUAUAAAACUUGUCUGAUAGUUCUAUUAUCUGGGUCAUAUCUUUGGUCUGUUGAAUUAUUUUUCUUGGCUGCAUGCCCAUUAUAUUGUGCCAUUUUGUGUGCCUCAUAAAUUUUGUUUAAAGCUGGACAUCUUGUAUAGGACAUUAGAGACCGAGUAAACAGUUUUUUAUGUUUUUAAAUGAGAAUGACUGGGGUUUGAAUUAAUCUCUUCAAGAGUUGAGCUAGGUUUGGAAUUUGUUGUUACCAAGGCUACUGUCUCAUCACAGGAUUCCAGUUCUUCUAGUAUUAUUUUGUGUUUAGUGUGGAGGCUAUUUGCAUCAAAGGGUUUUUUCUCAAUAGCUUCUCUACCCUCAACUUUAGUCUCCCCUUUGCUCUUUGCAUAGUCUUUACUCAUCCAACAGUGUCCUACUGUUAAGUGGUAUUUGAAGCUUGUUAACCUGGUUGGUGGCAGACCUAGCAUGGUUGAUAUCCUUUGUUCUGAGAAGCCCUCAGUUUUAACUAGCUUCUGGGGCCCUGGGUUUUGAGGUCGUUGUCUUGUCAGCACUUCAAUUUCUUCCUUCACUGUAGAUCUGAGACUAUGAGGUAUUCUUGCCUUUUCUCCAGGGAAAGGGUAUUUUUCUGCUGUCUUUCCCCUGCUUCAGUUUUCAUCUGAGACCCUAAGAGUCAUGGUUCGUCCUUCCUCUAGCAGUUUGAAGCUUUUCUUCUAUAAAGAAAAAGGAAUGAAAAAUCCAGGUGGUGUUCCCUGCCUUUCCCAGAGUGGCUGCUGUACCUUACACUAAGCCUGUGGUAGUAGAGGUGCUUUCUGAGGACUCUAGCCUAUCUUUAUUUUUCUUAAUGAGCAUCCAUGGAGGUCCAUGGAGAAAAGCCUACAAGUACAUGAAAAUUCCCUUUUUAUCGGCAGUCUCUGGAGAUACCAUAUUCUCUUCCUGGCCUAUAUUACCUUUAUUAAUUAAAGAGUUUAGUGAAAUUCUUUAUUUUUAUUGACAUAUAUUCGACAUAUAACAUUGUAUAAAUCUAAGGUGUACAACAUUCAUUUGAUACAUUUAUAUUUGUAAUUUGAUUGCCAUUGUAUUCCCGCUGUGGUGCAAUGGGUUAAGAAUCCUUCUGCAGAUGCUCAGGUCACUGCAGAGGCACAGGUUCAGUCUUGUUGCAGUGAUUAAAGGAUCUGGCAGUUGCUGCAGCUGUGGCAUAGGUCAUAGCUGCUACUCAGAUUCAAUUCCUGGCCCGGGAACUCCCAUAUGCCACAGGUACAGACAUUAAAAAAAAAAAAAAAAAAACUCUCCUAUCUCCCCCUUCCUCCCCCCCACCAGUAAUCACCAUUUUACUCUCAGUUUUUAUGAAUUAGCUUUUUAAGAUUCCACAUGUGUUACCACACAUUACUGCUGACUGAUGGCUUCUGCCUCAGGCAAACAAGUGCUUGUAUCCUGUCUUAAGAGUUAGUUGCCCUGUCACCUGAGCUCUCUGAUAUGUUCAAGCAAAAGUGUGGAUUUCCAGAUUGUCCAGCUUUUUGUUACUGUUGUGUUAAAGAUGAGAGUAAUUCUCCUUCCAGAUUUCUAUAUCCCAAGCAGAAAACAGAAGUCUCUUGUUUACUUAUUAACCAAUAUGUUGUAUCAUAUUUCUUUAUAAAGGCAGGACCAUGUCCCUUAAAAUGCAGCAGGAUUAAAAGCCAUGAAUAAAGUAUAAGCAAAUUCUAAUAAUGAAAUGUCAGGUUAAAUAGUAAUUAAAUUUUCUGUACUCUAGACAAGGUUUCAAAUACCUGAAAGAAUUGGUUAAAAUAAUCACAGAAAAGUUACCUAUUAUUUAUUAGAACUCAAGGAAUAUUAUUAAGAUGUUAGAAGAUUAGAAAUGGGCAAUUAUGCUGCAUUUUUAAAAAAACAUAUUCGGAGUUCCUGUUGUGGUGCAGUGGAAAGGAAUCUGACUAGGAACCAUGAGGUUGCAGAUUCAAUUCCUGGCCUCGCUCAGUGAGUUCAGGAUCCGGCGUUGCCAUGAGCUGUCGUGUAGGUCGCAGACAUGGCUCGUACCUGGUGUUGCUGUGGCGUAGGC